AGAGUUUGAUCCUGGCUCAGGAUGAACGCUGGCGGCGUGCCUUAGGCAUGCAAGUCAAGGGGGUCGCCGCAAGGCGACAACCGGCGGACGGGUGAGUAACGCGUAGGAAUCUACCCUUAAGUGGGGAAUAGCUCGCCGAAAGGCGGGGUAAUACCGCAUAAUGUUUCAAACCGAGAGGUUUGUAACCAAAGCACGUAACUGUGCGCUAAAGGAUGAGCCUGCGUCCCAUCAGCUAGUUGGUAGGGUAAUGGCCUACCAAGGCUACGACGGGUAGCUGGUCUGAGAGGAUGGUCAGCCACAAUGGGACUGAGACACGGCCCAUACACCUACGGGUGGCAGCAACCGGGAAUAGUUCGCAAUGGACGAAAGUCUGACGACGCGACGCCGCGUGGAGGACGAAGGCCUUCGGGUCGUAAACUCCUUUUGUAAGGGAAUAAACUCCCGCUUAGCGGGACUGACUGUACCUUACGAAUAAGCCGCUGCUAACUACGUGCCAGAAGCCUCGGUGAUACGUAGGCGGCAAGCGUUAUCCGGAAUUACUGGGCGUAAAGAGUUGCGUAGGCUCCUUGAUGAGUCGUUGCUUCAAUCCUCCAGCUUAACUGGAGAGUAGGCAAUGAUACUAUCAGGGUAGAGGCUAUGAGGGGGUUGCGGAACAACUGGUGGAGCAGUGAAAUGCGUUGAUAUCAGUUGGAACACCAAAGGCGAAGGCAGCAACCUGGCAUAGUUCUAACGCUGAGGCACGAAAGCGUGGGGAGCAAAACGGAUUAGAUACCCGUGUAGUCCACGCCGUAAACGAUGGAUGCUAGAUAUUGGCAGUUUGACCCUGUCAGUGUCGUAAGCUAACGCGUUAAGCAUCCCGCCUGGGGAGUACGGCCGCAAGGCUAAAACUUAAAGGAAUUGACGGGGACCCGCACAAGCAGUGGAGCGUGUGGUUUAAUUCGAUACAAAGCGAAGAACCUUACCAGGGUUUGACAUGUAUGUGGUAGGAACCCGAAAGGGUGACGACCCGCAAGGGAGCAUACACAGGUGCUGCAUGGCUGUCGUCAGCUCGUACCGUGAGGCGUCGCCUUAAGUGGCUCAACGAGCGCAACCCCUAUCAUUAGUUGUAUCACUCUAAUGAAACUGCCCCGUAUAACGGGGAGGAAGGCGGGGACGAUGUCAAGUCAUCAUAGCCCUUAUACCCUGGGCUACACACACCCUACAAUGGACUGGAACAACGGGAUGCAAAGCAGCGAUGCUAAGCCAAUCCCUUAAAACGGUCCUCAGUUCAGAUUGCAGGCUGCAACCUGCCUGCAUGAAGUCGGAAUUGCUAGUAAUCGCGGAUCAGCAGGCCGCGGUGAAUACGUUCUCGGGUCUUGUACACACCGCAAAUAAAAGCGCGCUUGGCAGCAUAAAUAGCUAAUUGGUUAAAAUCCAAUGUCCGAUGUAACGUCGGACUAGCCAAAAAAA
rnacentral:rRNA from 2 species